GGCCUAAUGGCGAAGCGGUAUCGCGUCCACAUUUCGUAUGCGAGGUGCAGAAAAAUUCGGUGGAAGUCCCUGGUUCGACUCCAGGUUAGGUCG